GGAAGAGUAUCACCCCUGAGGAUAAGAAGAGAGCGUGGACUGAAGUGGCAGAAGCUGUAACAAGUGCCUUCCCUGGGAGUGGACCCCGUACGCAGGAUGACUGUGAGAGGCGUUGGUACAACGUACAACAAAAAUCAAAGCCUUGCAUUGCCAAGUGCAAGAAUGAGCAGCGGCAGACUGAUACACACUUUAUCAGUAUUGCUAGAGACCAUCCCAGCACAUUGUUCAUUACUUGUGGAAAAGAUACCAUUAGCUGCUCCGGCAACAGCCACUGCUUCAAUAUCUGCUGGCCCUAUGACACCAGCCACUGUUUCAUAAUCUGCUGGCCCUAUGACACCAGCCACUGCUUCAUCAUCUGCUGGCCCUAUGACACCAGCCACUGUUUCAUCAUCUGCUGGCCCUAUGACACCAGCCACUGCUUCAUCAUCUGCUGGCCCAAUGACACCUGCCACUGCAAGGGAUGACAAUGAAGCUGCUCCACCAGUCACCACCUACUUCAUCGGAGUUUAGAGAUGCCUUUCAUAGGGCAGCAGUAUAAUUUUUUGAUGCUGGGGCUGAAUAUUACUGCCUCAAGGCUAUGAUUUUGUCACUUUUUUUUAUUAUUACUGAGGAGGUUAGGGUGGAAGGGGUGAAAAAUAAUUUGUGCUGUUUUUCGACAGAAAUGAUUAGCAAAUUCAUUCAAAGCACAAAAUUUACCGGAAAAAAAAUUGUGUGCCAUUGUGAGUGGGUUCACUUGAGAUUGGGCUCCAAUACGCCUCCGUGGUCUAGUGGUCAGCAUGCCUGGCUUCUACGCGGGCCCGGGUUCGAAUCCCGGCCUGGGCAGUCGGCGUGCAGCUCACCCAGCUGAUCAUCCUCCCUCUCGGGCUGGUCGAUAAAUGACUACCUGGGGAAACUGUGGUAGCCCGGAUGUCACACUGGCCCUGUGU